rnacentral:rRNA from 1 species
UGGUGGAGUGAUUUGUCUGGUUAAUUCCGUUAACGAACGAGACCUUAACCUAUUAAUUAGUGACGCGAACUUUCGGGGCAACCCGUUUCGGUUCGUGGCUGCACUUCUUAGAGGGACUCUCGGCAUCUCUAGCCGAUGGAAGUUUGAGGCAAAAACA